ensembl:rRNA 5S_rRNA 5S ribosomal RNA
GUGGGCAGCUAGCUCCCUGCAACUUUUACAUGGUCAACCACUAAAGCCGAGCAGGGCUGCGCCCGGUCAGUACCUGGAUGGAAGACCACAUGGGAAAGCUAGGUGACUGUCGGAA